AGUGAACGCUGGCGGUAGGCCUAACACAUGCAAGUCGAACGGCAGCACAGUAAGAGCUUGCUCUUACGGGUGGCGAGUGGCGGACGGGUGAGGAAUACAUCGGAAUCUACUUUUUCGUGGGGGAUAACGUAGGGAAACUUACGCUAAUACCGCAUACGACCUACGGGUGAAAGCAGGGGAUCUUCGGGCCUUGCGCGAUUGAAUGAGCCGAUGUCGGAUUAGCUAGUUGGCGGGGUAAAGGCCCACCAAGGCGACGAUCCGUAGCUGGUGUGAGAGAAUGAUCAGCCACACUGGAACUGAGACACGGUCCAGACUCCUGCGGGAGGCAGCAGUGGGGAAUAUUGGACAAUGGGCGCAAGCCUGAUCCAGCCAUACCGCGUGGGUGAAGAAGGCCUUCGGGUUGUAAAGCCCUUUUGUUGGGAAAGAAAAGCAGCAGGUUAAUACCCCGCUGUUCUGACGGUACCCAAAGAAUAAGCACCGGCUAACUUCGUG
rnacentral:rRNA from 1 species